UUGGGAUGGUGGCCCUCACGUGCUGUCACAUUUUUGGAGAACCAUGACACUGGAUCAACACAGGGUCACUGGCCAUUCCCACGAGAUAAGCUUACACAGGGAUAUGCAUACAUUUUGACUCAUCCUGGAACUCCUGUCAUUUUCUAUGACCAUUUAUAUGACUUUGGUUUUCAUGACAUCCUAACUGAGCUAAUUGAGGCUCGGAGAAG